rnacentral:rRNA from 1 species
GAUGAACGCUGGCGGCGUGCCUAACACAUGCAAGUCGAGCGUGAACCCUGCGAAUGAAACUUCGGUCGAUUUUGCAGGGGGAAAGCGGCGGACGGGUGAGUAACGCGUAGGUAACCUGCCCCAUACUGAGGGAUAGCCUCGGGAAACCGGGAUUAAUACCUCAUAACACCGUAUAUUCGCAUGGAUGUGCGGUCAAAGAUUUAUCGGUAUGGGAUGGGCCUGCGUCUGAUUAGCUGGUUGGUGGGGUAACGGCCUACCAAGGCGACGAUCAGUAGCCGACCUGAGAGGGUGAUCGGCCACAUUGGAACUGAGACACGGUCCAAACUCCUACGGGAGGCAGCAGUGGGGAAUAUUGCACAAUGGGGGAAACCCUGAUGCAGCGACGCCGCGUGAGCGAAGAAGGCCUUCGGGUCGUAAAGCUCUGUCCUAAGGGAAGAAAGGACGGUACCUUAGGAGGAAGCCCGGCUAACUACGUGCCAGCAGCCGCGGUAAGAGUAGUACA